UACAUACUCCCUCCAUCCGGAAAUACUUGUCAAAGAAAUGGAUGUAUCUAGAUGUAUUUUAGUUCUAAAUACAUCCACUUUUAUCCAUUUGUGCAACAAGUAAUUCCAGACGGAGGAGUACAAG
rnacentral:pre_miRNA from 1 species